rnacentral:lncRNA from 13 species
GGCAGCAACUCAGCAGGAGUUUCCCCAGCCUGUGGCUGAGCAGGGCGUACCCUGAGCAGCCUCCUCCUCACCGCACUCCACCCUACACUCCAGGGUCACGAGCCUUGGGCUUCCCUGUCCGUACCUCUUUCCCUCCAGCCCCCUCAACACUGGAGCCCAAGUCUUCUGCUGAGCAAGCCCACUCUUUGCACACCCAGGCUUCCUAAGCGAACCCCUCCUCCCCUUGUCAUUCAUGAACCAGAUGCAGAAACUGAGGCCCAGAAGCGUUCAGCUACCGCCGGACACAGUGAGUGGCUCACGCCUGUAAUCCCAGCACUUUGGGAGGCCAAGGCGGGUGGAUCACAAGGUCAGGAGUUUGAGACUAGUCUAGCCAACAUAGUGAAACACUGUCUUUACUAAAAAUACAAAAAUUAGCCAGGUGUGUUGGUGGUGACCGCCUGUAAUCCCAGCUGCUCAGGAGGCUGAGGCAGAAGAGUUAUGCCAACCCAGGAGGUGGAGGUUGCAGUGAGCCAAGAUCACACCAUUGCACUCCCACCUGGGCAACAGUGUGAGACUCCGUCUCAAAAAAAAAGCAUUCGGCCAUGUGUAUGCAUUGCCUUUCCCAUGUACCUGGUGCUUCAUCGCCAGUAAUAAGGUGAAUUAUAUCUAAAUAUAUCCACAGACUCAUUCAACAGCAUCUACAAGAGCGCCGCAGUUCCAGCAAGGAUCAGACCUGGCCCCUUCCUGCCCUUGGUUGCUGGCAAUCUGUAGGGUGAGGCUGGAUCUGGGGACCCAGAGGAGGCAGUUGUUUGUCCAACUGAACAGGUUGGGGGAGGGAAGGGAGGACAUGUGUGAGAGAUUUUGUAGACUUCUUUUUUCUUUUUCUUUUUUUUUUUUUUUGAGAUGGAUUCUCACCCUGUUGCCUAGCUGAAGUGCAGUGGCCCAAUCUUGGCUCACUGCAACGUCUGCCUCCCGGGUUCAACUGAUUCUCCUGCCUCAGCCUCCUGAGUAGCUGGGAUUAUAGGCACACGCCACCACACCUGGCUAGUUUUUGUAUUUUUAGUAGAGACCAGGUUUCAUCAUAUUAGCCAGGAGGGUCUCAAUCUCCUGACCUCGUGAUCCGCCCACCCUGGCCUCCCAAAGUGUUGGGAUUACAGGCAGGUAUUUAUAUUCUCUACUGGACAAAAUUCAUUUGCAUGUUAUGAGCAGGAAUUAUCUGCUUUGCGAUCUGUUUUCCAAAAAUUGCCCCUCUCCCUACAGAGCUAUAAAGUCAUUCAAAGACAAAAGCACACAAGCACACACCCCUAAAGAAUUAGAUCUUCACAGCUGGGCAUGGUGGCUCACCCAUUAGUGCUGUAAUCUCAUCACUAAAGGAGGCUGA